CUGGUCGGAAAUCAGUUGGCGAGUGCAAUGGCAUAAGCCUGCCUGACUGCGAGGCUGACAGGCCGAGCAGAGACGAAAGUCGGUCAUAGUGAUCCGGUGGUCCCGCGUGGAAGGGCCAUCGCUCAACGGAUAAAAGGUACGCCGGGGAUAACAGGCUGAUGAUGCCCAAGAGUCCAUAUCGACGGCAUUGUUUGGCACCUCGAUGUCGGCUCAUCGCAUCCUGGGGCUGGAGCAGGUCCCAAGGGUUUGGCUGUUCGCCAAUUAAAGCGGUACGUGAGCUGGGUUUAGAACGUCGUGAGACAGUUCGGUCCCUAUCUGCCGUGGGUGUAGGAGAAUUGAGAGGAUCUGCCCCUAGUACGAGAGGACCGGGGUGGACGUACCUCUGGUGGACCAGUUGUCGCGCCAGCGGCACAGCUGGGUAGCUAUGUACGGACUGGAUAACCGCUGAAAGCAUCUAAGCGGGAAACCAACCUCGAAACUAAUUCUCCCUUGAGAACCGUGGAAGACGACCACGUUGAUAGGCCAGGUGUGUAAGUGCAGCAAUGUAUUGAGCUUACUGGUACUAAUCGUUCGAUUGGCUUGAUUAC
rnacentral:rRNA from 1 species